GAUGAAGAACGCAGCGAAAUGCGAUACGUAAUGUGAAUUGCAGAAUUCAGUGAAUCAUCGAAUCUUUGAACGCAUAUUGCGCUCUCUGGUAUUCCGGAGAGCAUGCUUGUUUGAGUAUCAGUAAACACCUCAACUUCCAUAUCUUUUUUGAAAUGGGAGUUGGACUUGAGUGAUCCCAACGCUUUUCCUCACCGAAAAGUGGCGGGUUACUUGAAAUGCAGGUGCAGCUGGACUUUUCUCUGAGCUAUAAGCAUAUCUAUUUAGUCUGCCUAAAAAACAGAUUAUUACCUUUGCUGCAGCUAACAUAAAGGAGAUUAGUUCUUGUGCUGACUGAUGCAGGAUUCACAAAGACAGGCUUCGGCCGACUUUGUAAACUCGAUCUCAAAUCAAGUAAGACUACCCGCUGAACUUAAGCAUAUCAUAAGCGGAGGA
rnacentral:misc_RNA from 1 species